CGGGUGGAGAGGAACCAGGCUCUGAGGGGUGGACCAGUCCUCUUUCUGGUUGUGCUGGGUAGAGGAACCAGGCUCUGAGGGGUGGACCAGUCCUCUUUCUGGUUGUGCCGGGUAGAGAGGAACCAGGCUCUGAGGGGUUGACCAGUCCUCUUCUGGUUGUGCCGGGUGGAGAGGAACCAGGCUCUGAGGGGUGGACCAGUCCUCUUUCUGGUUGUGCCGGGUAGAGAGGAACCAGGCUCUGAGGGGUUGACCAGUCCUCUUUCUGGUUGUGCCGGGUGGAGAGGAACCAGGCUCUGAGGGGUGGACCAGUCCUCUUUCUGGUUGUGCCGGGUAGAGAGGAACCAGGCUCUGAGGGGUGGACCAGUCCUCUUUCUGGUUGUGCCGGGUAGAGAGGAACCAGGCUCUGAGGGGUGGACCAGUCCUCUUUCUGGUUGUGCCGGGUAGAGAGGAACUAGGCUCUGAGGGGUGGACCAGUCCUCUUUCUGGUUGUGCCGGGUAGAGAGGAACCAGGCUCUGAGGGGUGGACCAGUCCUCUUUCUGGUUGUGCCGGGUAGAGAGGAACCAGGCUCUGAGGGGUGGACCAGUCCUCUUUCUGGUUGUGCCGGGUAGAGAGGAACCAGGCUCUGAGGGGUGGACCAGUCCUCUUUCUGGUUGUGCCGGGUAGAGAGGAACCAGGCUCUGAGGGGUGGACCAGUCCUCUUUCUGGUUGUGCCGGGUAGAGAGGAACCAGGCUCUGAGGGGUGGACCAGUCCUCUUUCUGGUUGUGCCGGGUAGAGAGGAACCAGGCUCUGAGGGGUGGACCAGUCCUCUUUCUGGUUGUGCCGGGUAGAGAGGAACUAGGCUCUGAGGGGUGGACCAGUCCUCUUUCUGGUUGUGCCGGGUAGAGAGGAACCAGGCUCUGAGGGGUGGACCAGUCCUCUUUCUGGUUGUGCCGGGUAGAGAGGAACCAGGCUCUGAGGGGUGGACCAGUCCUCUUUCUGGUUGUGCCGGGUAGAGAGGAACCAGGCUCUGAGGGGUGGACCAGUCCUCUUUCUGGUUGUACUGGGUAGAGGAACCAGGCUCUGAGGGGUGGACCAGUCCUCUUUCUGGUUGUACUGGGUAGAGGAACCAGGCUCUGAGGGGUGGACCAGUCCUCUUUCUGGUUGUGCCGGGUGGAGAGGAACCAGGCUCUGAGGGGUGGACCAGUCCUCUUUCUGGUUGUGCCGGGUAGAGAGGAACCAGGCUCUGAGGGGUGGACCAGUCCUCUUUCUGGUUGUGCCGGGUAGAGAGGAACCAGGCUCUGAGGGGUGGACCAGUCCUCUUUCUGGUUGUGCCGGGUAGAGAGGAACCAGGCUCUGAGGGGUGGACCAGUCCUCUUUCUGGUUGUGCCGGGUAGAGAGGAACCAGGCUCUGAGGGGUGGACCAGUCCUCUUUCUGGUUGUGCCGGGUAGAGAGGAACCAGGCUCUGAGGGGUGGACCAGUCCUCUUUCUGGUUGUGCCGGGUAGAGAGGAACCAGGCUCUGAGGGGUGGACCAGUCCUCUUUCUGGUUGUGCCGGGUAGAGAGGAACCAGGCUCUGAGGGGUGGACCAGUCCUCUUUCUGGUUGUGCCGGGUAGAGAGGAACCAGGCUCUGAGGGGUGGACCAGUCCUCUUUCUGGUUGUGCCGGGUAGAGAGGAACCAGGCUCUGAGGGGUGGACCAGUCCUCUUUCUGGUUGUGCCGGGUAGAGAGGAACCAGGCUCUGAGGGGUGGACCAGUCCUCUUUCUGGUUGUGCCGGGUAGAGAGGAACCAGGCUCUGAGGGGUGGACCAGUCCUCUUUCUGGUUGUGCCGGGUAGAGAGGAACCAGGCUCUGAGGGGUGGACCAGUCCUCUUUCUGGUUGUGCCGGGUAGAGAGGAACCAGGCUCUGAGGGGUGGACCAGUCCUCUUUCUGGUUGUACUGGGUAGAGAGGAACCAGGCUCUGAGGGGUGGACCAGUC